UCGAUGUCACUCCAGACCAUAUCCUAAACUCCUGAAAACUAAUUGGUUAAACGUUUGCCUGGGCUUACCCCUGUAAGCAACGAAUUGGGUUGCCAGCAUGCCGGGAUUGCGACAUUAAACGAAAAGGAGGGGAUAGUGGCCGGUACGUAAUAAGUCAGCGUGCGAUUUUGUCUUAUAUUGAGUAAAAGUGGAAGUGCUAAAGCACAUAUCAAACUAAAUCUUUAAGGAUUUUACGGCCAAACUGUGUAAAAAUGAUCUACACCCACUUUUUACAGGGAAUAAGGAAUUAAUCAUGCCAACUGAAUUGAGAUAUUCACUGACUACGACUGUUAUUACCUUAGGUCUGAUUGUUGCAACGGCGCUGAUUGCCAUCCUGCAUUAAGGC
rnacentral:sRNA from 1 species